rnacentral:rRNA from 1 species
AACGAACGCUGGCGGCAUGCCUAACACAUGCAAGUCGAACGCCCCGCAAGGGGAGUGGCGAACGGGUGAGUAACGCGUGGGAACCUACCCAGCAGUUGGGGAUAACCGCGGGAAACUGCGGCUAAUACCGAAUACGUCCUGAGGGAGAAAGAUUUAUCGCUGUUGGAGGGGCCCGCGUCGGAUUAGCUAGUUGGUGAGGUAAUGGCUCACCAAGGCAUCGAUCCGUAGCUGGUCUGAGAGGAUGAUCAGCCACACUGGGACUUAGACACGGCCCAGACUCCUACGGGAGGCAGCAGUGGGGAAUAUUGGACAAUGGGGGCAACCCUGAUCCAGCAAUGCCGCGUGAGUGAUGAAGGCCUUAGGGUUGUAAAGCUCUUUUACCGGGGACGAUGAUGACGGUACCCGGAGAAUAAGCCCCGGCUAACUUCGUGCCAGCAGCCGCGGUAAUACGAAGGGGGCGAGCGUUGUUCGGAGUUACUGGGCGUAAAGGGCGCGUAGGCGGCGCUCCAAGUUAGGCGUGAAAGCCCCGGGCUCAACCUGGGAAUAGCGCUUAAGACUGGAGUGCUCGAGUGCGGGAGAGGUGAGUGGAAUUCCCAGUGUAGAGGUGAAAUUCGUAGAUAUUGGGAAGAACACCAGUGGCGAAGGCGGCUCACUGGCCCGCAAC